rnacentral:rRNA from 1 species
GAACGGAGCUGCUUUGAUGAAGUUUUCGGAUGGAUUUAAAGCAGCUUAGUGGCGGACGGGUGAGUAACGCGUGGGUAACCUGCCUCACACUGGGGGAUAACAGUUAGAAAUAGCUGCUAAUACCGCAUAAGCGCACGGUUCCGCAUGGAACAGUGUGAAAAACUCCGGUGGUGUGAGAUGGACCCGCGUCUGAUUAGGCAGUUGGCGGGGUAACGGCCCACCAAACCGACGAUCAGUAGCCGGCCUGAGAGGGCGACCGGCCACAUUGGGACUGAGACACGGCCCAAACUCCUACGGGAGGCAGCAGUGGGGAAUAUUGCACAAUGGGGGAAACCCUGAUGCAGCGACGCCGCGUGAGCGAAGAAGUAUUUCGGUAUGUAAAGCUCUAUCAGCAGGGAAGAUAAUGACGGUACCUGACUAAGAAGCCCCGGCUAACUACGUGCCAGCAGCCGCGGUAAUACGUAGGGGGCAAGCGUUAUCCGGAUUUACUGGGUGUAAAGGGAGCGUAGACGGCAAGGCAAGUCUGAUGUGAAAACCCAGGGCUUAACCCUGGGACUGCAUUGGAAACUGUCUGGCUCGAGUGCCGGAGAGGUAAGCGGAAUUCCUAGUGUAGCGGUGAAAUGCGUAGAUAUUAGGAAGAACACCAGUGGCGAAGGCGGCUUACUGGACGGUAACUGACGUUGAGGCUCGAAAGCGUGGGGAGCAA